CCUACGGGGGGCAGCAGUGGGGAAUAUUGGACAAUGGGGGGAACCCUGAUCCAGCCAUGCCGCGUGUGUGAAGAAGGCCCUCGGGUUGUAAAGCACUUUCAGUGAGGAAGAACGCCUGGUGGUUAAUACCCAUCAGGAAAGACAUCACUCACAGAAGAAGCACCGGCUAACUCAGUGCCAGCAGCCGCGGUAAUACGGAGGGUGCGAGCGUUAAUCGGAAUUACUGGGCGUAAAGCGCGCGUAGGUGGCUUGAUAAGCCGGUUGUGAAAGCCCCGGGCUCAACCUGGGAACGGCAUCCGGAACUGUCAAGCUAGAGUGCAGGAGAGGAAGGUAGAAUUCCCGGUGUAGCGGUGAAAUGCGUAGAGAUCGGGAGGAAUACCAGUGGCGAAGGCGGCCUUCUGGACUGACACUGACACUGAGGUGCGAAAGCGUGGGUAGCAAACAGGAUUAGAUACCCCUGUAGUC
rnacentral:rRNA from 1 species